rnacentral:rRNA from 1 species
GACGUAGGGCGCGAUCGUUGUCCGGAUUUAUUGGGCGUAAAGAGCUCGUAGGCGGCUUGUUACGUCGACUGUGAAAACCCGCGGCUCAACCGUGUGGUCUGCAGUCGAUACGGGCAGGCUAGAAUUCGGUAGGGGAGACUGGAAUUCCUGGUGUAGCGGUGAAAUGCGCAGAUAUCAGGAGGAACACCUAUUGCGAAGGCAGCUCGCUGGGACGUUACUGACGCUGAGACGCGAAAGCGUGGGGAGCAAACAGG